rnacentral:lncRNA from 1 species
GUUAGAAGGGGAACGCGAAAUAACUUUAGGUUUUGUUGAUUUAUUGCGCGAUGAUUUUAUUGAAAAAGAUCGUUCUCGCGGUAUCUUUUUCACUCAGGACUGGGUAUCCAUGCCAGGUGUUAUACCGGUGGCUUCUGGGGGUAUUCAUGUUUGGCAUAUGCCAGCUCUGACCGAAAUCUUUGGAGAUGAUUCCGUAUUACAAUUUGGUGGAGGAACUUUAGGACAUCCUUGGGGAAAUGCACCUGGUGCAGCAGCUAAUCGUGUGGCUUUAGAAGCCUGUGUACAAGCUCGUAACGAAGGGCGCGAUCUUGCUCGUGAAGGUAAUGAAAUUAUCAAAGCAGCUUGCAAAUGGAGUGCUGAACUAGCCGCAGCUUGUGAAAUAUGGAAGGAGAUCAAAUU